UACGAAGGGGGCUAGCGUUGCUCGGAAUUACUGGGCGUAAAGCGCACGUAGGCGGCUUUCUAAGUCGGAGGUGAAAUCCUGGAGCUCAACUCCAGAACUGCCUUCGAUACUGAAGAGCUUGAGUCCGGGAGAGGUGAGUGGAACUGCGAGUGUAGAGGUGAAAUUCGUAGAUAUUCGCAAGAACACCAGUGGCGAAGGCGGCUCACUGGCCCGGUACUGACGCUGAGGUGCGAAAGCGUGGGGAGCAAACAGG
rnacentral:rRNA from 1 species